rnacentral:rRNA from 1 species
UACGUAGGGUGCAAGCGUUAAUCGGAUUUACUGGGCGUAAAGCGUGUGUAGGCGGCUUGGCAAGUUGGAUGUGAAAUCCCGCGGCUCAACCGUGGACGUGCAUCCAAAACUGCUUCGCUAGAGUCUCGGAGAGGAAGGUGGAAUGCUUGGUGUAGAGGUGAAAUUCGUAGAUAUCAAGCAGAACACCUGCGGCGAAGGCGGCCUUCUGGACGAUGACUGACGCUGAGACACGAAAGCGUGGGGAGCAAACAGG